UGAAGAAUAUUGGGCAAUGGGCGAAAGCCUGACCCAGCAACGCCGCGUGCACGAUGAAGGCCUUCGGGUCGUAAAGUGCUUUUAGAGAGGAUGAGGAAGGACAGUACUUUCUGAAUAAGCCUCGGCUAACUACGUGCCAGCAGCCGCGGUAAAACGUAGGAGGCUAGCGUUAUCCGGAUUUACUGGGCGUAAAGCGCGUGCAGGUGGUCUUGUAAGUUGGAUGUGAAAGCUCCUGGCUUAACUGGGAGAGGUCGUUCAAAACUGCAAGACUUGAGAUUGGUAGAGGGAGGUGGAAGUCCGGGUGUAGCGGUGGAAUGCGCAGAUAUCCGGAGGAACACCAGUGGCGAAAGCGGCCUCCUGGACCACUCCUGACACUCAGACGCGAAAGCUAGGGUAGCAAACG
rnacentral:rRNA from 1 species